UCCUCUCUACCCGGCAGGGCCCCCUGUCUACAGCUCUGCAGCUCCUCCCCCGUAUCUGCCACAGCAGCGCGCCUACCCCGGAACCUGAGGGACCGUGUCUGCUGCCUUCACAGGGGCCCCCCCCUGUGUCUGCCACUGGCCCUGGGGGUGGCAGGGGUCACCCACUCAACAGGCCCCCGGCCAAGCCACCCCCUGGGUCGUGCAGGGAAGUGGACAGGAGCUGGGCGGGAACUUGGCCAUGAAUGAGGGGGGCAGAGGGGCUUGUCAUUGCUGCACUAUUUUUAUUUCUAACGGGGGCCAGGGGAGGGCCGCAGUGUGGGUCCCCGCCCUGGUCCCUCUGCUCCCAGGACCCUCCUGCUUGCCCUGGGGGCUGGGUGGGGCUCUGUCAGCCGCCCGCCCGCCUGCUGGAGCCCGCGGGCUGUCCCACGGCCCUGGCUGGGCUGCCGAUUAAAGCUGAGAGGGAACUCA